rnacentral:rRNA from 1 species
UACGUAGGGUGCGAGCGUUGUCCGGAAUUAUUGGGCGUAAAGGGCUCGUAGGCGGUCUGUCACGUCGAAAGUGAAAACUCAGGGCUUAACCCUGAGCCUGCUUCCGAUACGGGCAGACUAGAGGUAUGCAGGGGAGAACGGAAUUCCUGGUGUAGCGGUGAAAUGCGCAGAUAUCAGGAAGAACACCCGUGGCGAAGGCGGUUCUCUGGGACGGUACUGACGCUGAGACGCGAAAGCGUGGGGAGCGAACAGG